rnacentral:lncRNA from 1 species
AGUAGCAUAAGACAAUCACCAAGAACAGCAGCAGCCUUGGGGUGGAGCCAGUCAGAGCCAAGAAGACAAGCUACGUGUGUUGCAAAGGGCAGAGCCAGGGAAAUGUCCCAAGCCCCUUGGAGGAGCCCAGAAUAUUCUUAGUGGAUCUCCCAUGUUGGAUGUUGAGACUUGGAUGCUCCAUCAUAAUUUAUUGCAUCUUAAGAAAUCCUUCUGUCUGGUCCACACCUCUACUUGCAAUCUUGGAUUGGCACUGACUCCCCAGCUCACAGCUCUGUUUGCCUCCCAGGAAACCUACUCCUACUCAGGACAAUGAGGUAAGACACUCAUGCCUCAAUCCCCCAUCUACUGGGCCAGGGCAAACCCAGCAGCUAAGAGGUCUGCCUUGUCCUUUCUGAGAUCCAUCUUAAGGUCCAGACCUCUGCGUGCAAUCUCUAGGAUCUGAACUCAAUACCCCACCUACUGCUCUGCUUGCCUUUUGGAAGGUCUGCUGUCAACCAGGAUAACAAGUCCCAGAGGCCUGCUACUCUCUAGCACUAUGAUACCAAGCCAACACCAGAGACAACCAGAUGGCUAAAAGCAAGCACAAGAACACAAUCAAAAAAAGCCAGUUCAAUAUGGCACCAUUAGAAUCCAGCUAUCCUACUACAGCAAGCCCUAGAUAUCUUAACAUGCUUGAAGAGCAAGACUAUGUAUGACCUUAAAUCUCAUCUUAUGGAGAUGACAGAGGCCUUUAAAGAGGAAAUAAAUAAAUCCCUUAAAGAAACACAGAAUACUACAAUCAAACAAGUGCAGGAAAUGAAUAAAACUGUCCAAGACAUAAAAAUGGAAAUAGAAUCAACAAAGAAAACACAAACAGAGGCAAUCUUGGAGAUAGAAAGCCUAGUAAAGAGAACAGGAAGUAUGGACACAAGCACAUCACCAACAGAAUAAAAGAGAUAUAAGAGAGAAUUUCAGGCAUAGAAGAUACAAUAGAAGAAAUUGAUAUAUCAGUUUAAAAAAAUGUCAAAUCUGAAAAGUUUGUAAUGUAAAAUAUCCAGGAAAUAUUAGACACCUUGAAAAGACCAACUGUAAGAACAAUAGGAAUAGAAGAAGGAGAGGAUUCCAAGUUUAAAAGCUAAGAAAAUAUCUUCAACAAAAUCAUAGAUUACAAACUUCCCUAGCCUAAAGAAAGAGAUGGCUAUAAAUAUAUAAGAAGCUUACAGAACACCAAAUAGAUUGGACCAGAAAAGAAAAGUCUUCUACCACAUGAUAACUAAAACAUAAAAUGUACAGAACAAAGAGAGAAUAUUAAAAGCUAUAAGGGAAAGGCUAAGUAACAUAUCAAGGCAGCCGUACUAGAAUUACACAUCCUUCUCAACAGUGACUCUAAAAGUCAGAAGGUCUAGAGACCACAGAUGUCAGCCCAGACUAUUAUACCCAGGAAAACUUCCAAUCACCAUAGAUGGAAACACCAAGAUAUUCCAUGACAAAAUCCAUUUUAAACAAUAUCUUUCUACUAAUUAAUUUCUACAGAGAAUACUAGAAAGAAAACUUCAACACAAGGAGGGUAACUAUACCCAAGAAAACACAAGAAAUUAAUCAUCUCACAGGAAAAAACAAAAGAAGGGAGCCUCUCACAUAUAGUAUCACCACCAACAUAAAAAUAACAGAAGCAAUCAUUGGUUGUUAAUAUCUCUCAACAUCAAUUCACCAAUAAAAAGACACAGGUUCACAGAUUGGAUAUGUAAGCAGGAUCCAUUAUUCUGCUACCUACAAGAAACAUACCUCAGCAACAAAGAUAAAUGCUACCUCUUUUACUUUUACAGAGUAAACGGCUGGAAAAACAUUUUCUAAGCAAACAAACCCAAAAAACAAACAUUCUAAUACCUAAAAAUUACACUUUCAACAGAAGUUAUGAAAAGAAAUGGGGAAGAACACUUCAUACUCA